rnacentral:lncRNA from 1 species
UGCGUAAAUGUAAAAAUCUAAUUCUGGUAUCUAUGAUGAGUUUAUUUCUUACGUGCUUUCUUUUUUUCUUUUUUUAUUGAUUUACAAGGUGGCCAAUCUUUAAUAAUUCAUUACAUUUGCUGUAAGAUAUUAUCAUAGUUUUAUAAUUUCGGAAUUCAUACUAUUCCAUUUAAUACCCCGUGGGUAUCAGACCGAAGUGCCAUUAUCUAACGAAUGAUGAUAACUAAACUUAUCAUAGAUAUCAGAAUUAAAAUUUGAUAUAUGAUGGAAGUGUAUAACGAUCUUGACUUGAUAUA